AGAGUUUGAUCCUGGCUCAGGACGAACGCUGGCGGCGUGCUUAACACAUGCAAGUCGAGCGAUGAAACUACUUCGGUAGUGAAUUAGCGGCGAACGGGUGAGGAACACGUGAGGAAUCUGCCUUCUACACUGGGAUAACUCCGGGAAACCGGGGCUAAUACCGGAUAUGAAACUUGGUGGCAUCACCGAGUUUGGAAAGUUUUUCGGUAGAAGAUGACCUCGCGGCCUAUCAGCUUGUUGGUGAGGUAAUGGCUCACCAAGGCGACGACGGGUAGCCGGCCUGAGAGGGCGACCGGCCACACUGGGACUGAGACACGGCCCAGACUCCUACGGGAGGCAGCAGUGGGGAAUAUUGGGCAAUGGAGGAAACUCUGACCCAGCGACGCCGCGUGCGGGAUGAAGGCCUUCGGGUUGUAAACCGCUUUCAGUAGGGAAGAAGCGAAAGUGACGGUACCUACAGAAGAAGCACCGGCUAACUAUGUGCCAGCAGCCGCGGUAAUACAUAGGGUGCAAGCGUUGUCCGGAAUUAUUGGGCGUAAAGAGCUCGUAGGUGGUUCGUUACGUCGGAUGUGAAAAUCUGGGGCUCAACCCCAGACCUGCAUCCGAUACGGUCGAGCUAGAGUUUGGUAGGGGAGACUGGAAUUCCUGGUGUAGCGGUGGAAUGCGCAGAUAUCAGAGGAACACCAAUGGCGAAAGCAGGUCUCUGGGCCAAUACUGACACUGAGGAGCGAAAGCGUGGGAGCGAACAGGAUUAGAUACCCUGGUAGUCCACGCCGUAACGGUGGGCGCUAGUUGUGGGAACCUUCCACGGUUUCUGCGACGCAGCUAACGCAUUAAGCGCCCCGCCUGGGGAGUACGAUCGCAGAUUAAAACUCAAGGAAUUGACGGGGNCCGCACAGCAGCGGAGCAUGCGGCUUAAUUCGA
rnacentral:rRNA from 1 species